AGUUUGAACCUCUAGUUCUGACUCCAGGACCACGCAGCACCCUCCAGGGUCGUUCACCAACCUUGGUUAGGUAACCCUGAACAUAGCCAGGUACUUCAGCAUCUGCUGCCCGUGCAGCUUCCUGCUGUAUAAGCACCUCCUGAUCAGGGGCUGCAGAUGCCACCGCAUACUUCUUCCUGCGCUUGGGUUUCACCGUGCCACGGAUAUUCGCAGGCUUGCUGCGCUUGGAGCGUAGAGUAAUGUACACCACGUUGGGCUGCAAAGUGCUUCCAUUGCCCUGCAACUCUGGAGGGGCCAGGGUACCAUCCAGGGGAAUCUCCGGGAAGGGUACCUUGAAGAUGUCGUGACCGUUGGGUGGUCCCCUGUCAGUCGCCUGCCCAUGCUGAAAGGAACCUCUGCCCACCUGGCUCACCAGAAAGCCCAGGUAGAUGGCACAGGCAGUGCCCAGCAGGAGGUUCCGUCUGGUCCUGGGACGCCGACUACUCCAAAGUUUACACACUCGUGGGGCGCACAGGGAGCAGACAAACCAGUUUACGAGCUGCCCCGGCUUGUCUGGACAGGUCAUUUCUCUGCCGCUUCCACAUGCUGAACUGAGUUUAAAGUCUGCAGCUGGCUCCGGGUGACAUGAUUCAUGGCUUCCUGAAUCCAGCCGUCCACUUCGCUUCGCUAUCUAAGUGGUCUCCAACAGGCAGAGAGUAUCGUAUGACUGAAUGGGUACAGAAAACAGGAGCUCUUUAAACCUACACCUGUGGUAUAUGUAUCACUCACAAAUAUCAAAGGAAAACAAGAGAUCAAGAAGUCUGCUUGUUUCCUAAUGAGAGGCAGAAGGUCUGGAUCUGGGUGAGAAGGAGCUGAGAGGAGCAGAAGGAGGAAAAUACCAUAAUCUGGACAUAUAAUGUGAGGAGAAAAAAAUCUAUUUCCAAUAAAAGGAAUAAAAUUUAAAUGGUUGAG
ensembl:antisense Gm36569 predicted gene, 36569